ACAUUUGAUGGAAAUGUAUGUUCAAGUACAGUAACUGAUUUCUCUCUCUCUCUCUCUUCCUCUCUAGGCAGUUGAAUUGCUUUGAUCAGAGUUCAUUCGCUUUGACCAAAGGCUGCCGACUGAGUCCCACCCCAACCCUCUUUAUCGCUGCUCCACUUUUUGUCUCUGACUUCUUUCACUCACUGUCCAUCUUGUGGUGUUGAUAAGAC